GCCGGCAUAGCUCAGUUGGUAGAGCGCCACUUUUGUAAAGUGGAUGUCGGGGGUUCGAAUCCUCCUGCCGGCUCCA
rnacentral:tRNA from 2 species